GAAGCUAUCGCUUGAGGAGGGGCUCGCGGCCCAUCAGCUAGUUGGUAGGGUAACGGCCUACCAAGGCGACGACGGGUAGCUGGUCUGAGAGGACGACCAGCCACACGGGAAUUGAGAUACGGUCCCGACUCCUACGGGAGGCAGCAGUGGGGAAUCUUGGGCAAUGGGGGCAACCCUGACCCAGCGACGCCGCGUGGGGGAUGAAGGCCUUCGGGUUGUAAACCCCUGUUCGGUGGGACGAACAUUUUCCCAUGAAUAGUGGGAGAAUUUGACGGUACCACCAGAGUAAGCCCCGGCUAACUCCGUGCCAGCAGCCGCGGUAAUACGGAGGGGGCAAGUGUUG
rnacentral:rRNA from 1 species